rnacentral:rRNA from 1 species
GGUUAAAAAGCUCGUAGUUGGAUCUCGGCAAGUAGAGGGCGGUAUGCUUCGUAGCAUUACUGCCCUAUUACUUGUAGUUUUGCCAGAGGUUCCUGGGUGCUCUUAAUCGAGUGUCUAGGGAUGCUGGCAGGUUUACUUUGAAAAAAUUAGAGUGCUCAAAGCAGGCUAUUACGCUUGAAUAUUCGUGCAUGGAAUAAUAGAAUAGGAAGUUGUUUCUAUUUUGUUGGUCUUCGGAAAUCGACUUAAUGAUUAAUAGGGACAGUCGGGGGCAUUUGUAUUCAAACGACAGAGGUGAAAUUCUUGGACCGUUUGAAGACAAACUACUGCGAAAGCAUUUGCCAAGAAUGUUUUCAUUAAUCAAGAACGAAAGUUAGAGGUUCGAAGGCGAUUAGAUACCGCCCUAGUUCUAACCAUAAACGAUGCCAGCUAGCGAUCUGAGGACGUUUUUUUUGUAGACUCCUCAGGAAGCUUCCGGGAAACCAAAGCGUGUGGGUUCCGGGGGAAGUAUGGUUGCAAAGCUGAAACUUAAAGGAAUUGAUGGAAGGGCACCACCAGGAGUGGAGCCUGCGGCUUAAUUUGACUCAACACGGGAAAUCUCACCAGGCCCGGACACUGGAAGGAUUGACAGAUUGAGAGCUCUUUCUCGAU